ensembl:lncRNA
GCUAGCAUGAACUUUACAUACUGCAUGCCUUACUGAUUGAUUAAAAAUGUAGUCAUCCUUAAAGACAAAUCACCUAAGGACUUACAAUUCCAUGAGCUACACUUUGGUCCUAUCAAGACAGGCAGGCAGCUGCAUGAGAGGUGGAAAGAGAGAAAAUGAUUGAGAUGAAAUCACCACCAACAACUAUUGCAGGCAGCAAAGCAGCAUUGGAUUCCAGCCACCAUACUUCUGCAACCAGGUGUGAAUGAGCCUGAUGGGAUGUUAUUAUGGAUCCUACACUGAAAAAGGGAGAGGGAUUAAAAUCUGUGUUCACAGGCUGAGAGCAGGUGUCUGCGAUGAGAUCCCAUGCUGUGACAUGCAUGCAGCACACUCUUACAUGAAAAGCCCUGGCUGAUGAAAUGACCACAGGAAGACAACACAGAACCCUCCUGGCAGGAUCAGAAGAAGCUUAAUUAAGCUCUGUGGUUAAUGUUAAAGUCCUUUUGUCAGAAGCAUAACAAGGAACUUCAGUCUGGCUUUCAAAAGUGCUGAACACCCAAAACUCCUACUGAGGUCUCUGUGAAUCACAGCACAGAACAAGUGACUCUUCCCUUCACUCUGCAAGUGCUACAGAUUCAUGUGCUUCUACUAAAAUCUCCACGUGCCCGGCACUACAGAAGAGGAAGUGUGGCUCUCUGAACUGAGAUUUUUGGAUGAAGCUCCAAAAAAUGCUUCUGCUUCCAGCACUCCCCACCCCAUCCCACAGGCUGUCUCCUGGCCUUAUGCUCCUGUGUAUUGAGGGAAGGCAGCUCUUCUGCCCUGCAGGUGGAGAAAUCCCUUGGCCAGGCCUUGGUGGAUCCUUCAGGCCCAGCCUCUGUCCCACGGCUGCUCCCCAGCGCAGCACUCAUUUCUGCUGCAGAGAUGCAGGUAUCUGAGCACAAGCUACAUCGGUGCAAGGCUAGUUACUGUGCCAGGAGAACAUGUCCAACUGCCUCUUAAUAAAAGGAUGAUAAAGAGAAGGCUAGGUAAGAUAUACCAGAUUUAUUCCAAGGCACUUUGUGUACCAUGGGGUUAGGUAGAUAGAAGACUCCCUGUAUUUUACAGCUGAGAGGGGUAUCAAAAUCUUCUGCUGCUGCUCUUUCACUUCCUUCAUACAUACACUAGGACUUUUACCCCAUGCUACCUGCCCCAAGCGAUAGUGCUGUAUUGCAGCCAAUUAAUGAACCAUUGAAAUGAGUCCUUCUAGUACAAAAACCAGGUUGGAUUAUAUGAGUUAAUUAUAUUGUAUUAUAGAUUAUCUUCAGGGUUCCUUCCAACCCAGGCCCUUUAUGAUUCUACGAUACCAGUUUUGUUUGGUGUAAGAUUUAUUGUUUUUCUUUUAACAUAUGCCGGGUGAGAUGCUCUCCAAAUCUCCAACACUUUCUGCUUAUAUAGUCUUCAUCUUUCCAGAAGAGCAGUGCUCUAUUUGACUGCAGAGUUGGAUCACCCACCUGGAUCUUGGAUCCUGCCCAUUUUUGCUGCUGUUCGUGCUUUAAAUCAUUAGCAGAGCAUUUUUAUGAACACAGGAGUACCAAUCUCCUUCCAAGCAGGAGGCUAUCUCUCUGGUUGAAAUAAAAUUAGUUUAAUCUGGUCAAAGGCAGGAAUUUUUGAGCUUCAGCUCCAGAACUUGCCUUGCUGCUGCUGUCAGGCAUGCCUCGUCACCAUUUUGCUGUGGGAUGCUUUGUACUGGCUGUCUCCCCAGUUUCAGUCCUUGCUCAUCAAGGUCUCUUCUGUCACUGUCAGGUCACUGCCAGGCUAUACUUGACCUGGCUGAACUGUCAGAAAACUGCUGGCAUCCAAAGGGAGCAGGUGACCCUUCCUCCCUACCCAGCCCCUCAGCCCCACACAACUGGUGUGGUUUAUGUGUGCUCACGUCACUGAACGGAGCACCUCACUAUGAUGGCUUUGACGCUGGAAGAAUAACUAACUGCAAGGCUUCUUUCGUUUGGAAUUUUCAUUUGUAUAUCCUGGGAAUCCCCAUGCAGGUGCUGCAAUACAAGGGUGGCGUUGAUACAGAUUUUGGAGAUAAGCAUGGUAUGUUGAAGGUUUCCUGGUCACCUAAAAGUUCUGCUUUGAACUGCACAUUGUUUUCAGGUGCCCUCUGUUCUCCCAGCAUGGUUGUUCCACUGCGGAAAAACAAGUCAGGAUGUACUGGGGAGAUGCUGCUCUGAGGCUCCUGCCUGGGUACUGUGUUCAAUAACAUUUUGAUGUCAAAUAAAAAGAGGAGAGGGAGAAAUGAUGCCAAAAAGAAAUCUCAGCUUCAGACAUCUGUUAACUUUGGGUACAGUAGAGGGGAGCUGAGCAGUGUGGCCAGAGCCUAUGGUGUAUUAAUUAACAAAAAGUGAGCACAGUCACUCUGGUUCAAAGAGCUGAAGCAAACUUAGGGUGGUACAGAAGCCUGGGGUUGCUCUGCCAUUUGGGAAGGCAACUUCCCCCUAGGAAGAAGUUACGGUCUUUAAUCAUAGGCAGAUUACUUUUCUUCUGAAAAGUAACUUGUUUUGCUAGGGUGGCAAAGGCUUCUAAUUUGUUUUGGUUUUUUUAAUUAUUAUUAUUAUUAUUAUUAUUUUGUUCCUAUCUGGGAAAUGUCCUUUAAUGGAAAAGGUAGAUUUAAAAAAAACAGAUAAAAAAGAGAAAAUGUGGACUUGAGGAGCCUGGGUUUGUUCAAGUACAAGCAUGGAGAGCCUGAGUGAUCUUCACAUUCAGAUCACAACUUUGCUGCAAAGGAAAGGUCACUUUUGCUUGUGUUCAGGGUCAGCUUUUUCUCUUUCGUCCCCUUGGUAAGAUCUCUCCUUUUGUAUUGUUACGGAUCUACCUUGGUUUUGAACUUUCUCCUUUAUCUUUCCUUUGUGUGUGUGUGUGUGUGUAGGGGGGGGGAGAGAGAACUGAUAUUUCAUCUUUUAAAAGAUUUACAGGAAAAAGAAAUAAUAUAUGCACCACUGUGGAAAAGCAUGUCUCUAUUCAUACCUUUGCGUUUUACCGGAAAAUAUGUCAUUCCUUUCAGAUCCAUGAAUUAAGAUGCACUAUUUUUUGCUGAAGGCUAUUUUAAAUUAGGCUAAUAAAUUGCUGCUCUCUGCCUUGCGUGAUAAUGCAUUACAUUAUCUACUGAUGUACACGUAUUGUUUGACUCUAAUGGUGUGGAAAUUAAAUGUUAGACAUGGGCCAGAUGUUCCUAUAGAUGAAUAUGAAGUAUGACUCUGUCGUAGCUGAGUCUCAAUGGGACAGAAGGGAGACUGGGAGGCUUUCUGAACAACAGCAAUGAAAUCCUAAGUGGGUCACCCGCACCCACACCCAGGAUCCAGGCCUAACACUGAGUGUUUAUAGGCAUUAUCACCCUCAGUUCUGUUACAGUGCUUCAGCAAGAGCCAGUGCCUCUCUAAUUUCAGAUGCUUCAGUGCUCAUAAGGCCAGGAAGAGCGGCUCAUAUUGAGGGCAAAUGUUUGCCAUCCCUGCCAGGCUGACAGAGCAGCUGAGGGAGCAUCAUUGCCUGAGCUGCAAAACGUUCUGAAGCACUCCCUCUGCCCUCCCCCUCUCCCUUGUUUUCAUGCAGUGGCUGAGGGGGCAAACAGAUGUACAUUACAGUGAAUAUUAAUGAAGGUCCCCCACUGGCAUCUCCUCUCUGGAACAGGGCGGGGGGGAAAGACUUACAAUCUCCCUUGCAGGGCUAAAUUACCCGGUGACUCAUAAUCUAAGUACUGGCCGAAUGUUGCUGAACACGGGUAUUUAGGAUAUUUGAUAAUGAUGGACAGGGGCAUUUUCAAAAUUGGUAAUGAGGCAGCUUUGCUUUGGGGAUCUUCUGAUUCGCUACAGCUCACUAACACCUGAAAGAAAAAAAGGGUCCUAACAAUGAGAUUAACUAAAGGUUUCUGUUCGUGUCUAUGUUCAUACUGUGUGUGAGAUGGAAAGGAAGGACAGUUUUUACACCACUAAAAGAACAAACCAGGACUUGCAGAGCAGCAAGCGGGGGAUGCAUGGCUGCUUUCUUACUGGAUAGGAGAGAUCGACAUCCUCUCUGUUGUCAGCCCUACUGGAGCAGCCCCCUUUGGCCUCUGAGGAUUUUUGUAGGCUGACCUGUGGCUCCUGGCCGGCAAGAGAGGGAGGGCAGUGAAUGGCAGAGAGGGAGCAGCAGCAGGGAAUGGGCAGCGGAGAGCCAGGAAGAGGGCUUUCAUAGCUGCUGCUGCUGGAGUAAGGGGCAUUGAUGUGUCCUGAAGGGUGGCAUGAUCUGAGGGGAACUAGCUGUGGCUGCAGCACUGUGCUGGAUGCAGGCUUGUUUUUGUUUGCCCAGGCUCACUGAAGGCCAGGCGUUGUAAAGCUUUAUGUAUGCCAUUCCCCCUGCUGCAUGUGGCAGUCGCCCCGCAGGGGCAUCAAGCCCCAGUGGGAAGCUUUGGGCCAGCCACAUCUGUGUCUCUCACCAGAUCUUUGAGAGGCAUGUGGUGUGGCCGUGCGAAAUUGGGCACACUGUGGUGGUGUCCAUGGGAAUCCCCAAAGGGACACAAAUGUCAGCCAGAGUCCCUGCCAGGGGUGAUCCACCAGCACUGACCCCAGGAGCAAGACAGCAUCAGGUCUUCACCAUACAAUUUUUAGAAAGCCAGGCGCAUUCUCCAUUUAACUACACUGUUUCUCAGGCUCGUCAGUGGCAGGCACCAUCAGAGAUGCUGAAGAAUGUUUUCAUCACAGCUAACAGAGGGCUAUCCAGAUUGCUCGUAACUGUUUUUAGCACAGUAAACAUGUAAACUGAGUGCCUAGGGGAAAAAAAAGUGGGAAAAAAAAAAGCUUGUCCUUGCAGUAGCUGAUCAUUUUUAAUUAAAUCUCGAUCUAUCAAUCUGUUUAUUGUGUGAGGGAGAGAGAACUAGACCAGAAUGAUUUAGGAUGUGGGUACCGUUGACAUAGUUUACCUGGACUUCAACAAAGGCUUUGACACUGUCUCCCACAGUAUUCUCCUGGAGAAGCUGGCAGUCCAUGGCUUUGACAGGUACAUUCUUUACUUUCUGGGCAAAAAACUGGCUGAAGGACAAGCCCAGAGCGUGGUGGUAAGUGGGGUUAAAUCUAGCUGGCAACCGGUCAUGAGUGGUGUUGUCCAGGGGUUGGUACUGGGGCCUGUCCUAUUUACUAUUUUCAUUAAUCACCUGGACAAGGGGCACCUUCAGUAAGUUUACAGAUGACAUCAAGUUGGGAGAAAGCCUUAAUCUUCCUGAGGGUAAAAAGGCCCUUCAGAGGGAUCUGGACAGGAUGGAUCACUCGGUUGAGGCCAAUGGGAUGAAGUUCAAGAAGACCAAGUGACAAGUCCUGCACUUUGGUCACAACAACCCUAGGCAGUGCUACAGGUUUCGGGCAGAGUGUCUGGAAGACUGUGGAGGAAAUGGACCUGGGGGUAUUGGUCAGCAUUUGUCUGAACAUGAGCAAGCAGUGUGCCAAGGUAGCCAAGAAGGCCACUGGCAUCCUGGCUUCUAUCAGAAAUAAUGACAUCCUGACUUGUAUCAGAAAGAUUGUUACCAGCAGGACUAGGGAUGUAGUCAUGUAUCCAGUUACACAGUGGACUAGUUGCUGUGCUGAGAAGCACUAACAGACUACUCAUGUGCAGCCUUGUCCCUUUAAACAAGCAACCAGAGCAUGUCACCUGGACUUUGACACUCAUGAUUCAAAGAAGGAUAGAGACAGCCCUAUUUGGAAUAUCUAUAGGAGUGCCUGAAGUAACCCCAAUUCCCUGCUGAAGUACCUAAGUUUUCUCCUUUAUAUCUAUGCUUUCCUGGUCUCUGCAGAGACUUCCAAGGAAAAUCCUUAAUGAGGACUUGUCCUUCUUUCUUAUGGCAUGGACCCAUGGCCAAGGAAAACUACGCCAAGAUUUCCAAGCUUGUAGACGCCACCACUGCAACAUCUGAUUGGAACAACUGCUACCAUCCGGAGCUGAGCACAUCUGAACUGGUGAACCGGCUGACUGAUCCCCACUCACGUAAGCCAGACAGCUUGCUUAUUACUAACAGCUUUAGCUGGAACGGUUACUUAAUUAAAAGUGCCUUGACCAGUCCCAUCACUGCAGGAAGCCAAGACCAAAAAGACUAAGAAAAGUCACUGUGAAUCCAAAUGAAAACCUGCCAUGACUUUUCCUUUGCUCUUCAGUUUCCGAUGCAAAUUCACUUCCUGAUGAGUCAUGAUGUGCACAGCACAUCUGUAUGAAAUAAGUUGUUUCUUCUGACCAUCCCCUGCUACAUCUCCUCCCUCACCCCUACAUCUCAUUCUUGUUUCUAGACCUUACUCACCAAAACUUUCUUAGAAAGAAAGAAGUAAACAACUUUUAAUGCCCACCAGUGCUGUUAUGACAGUAUGAACACUUGAUGUGGAUUUAACCUACAGCUUCAGCUCAGGACUGUGAGCCUGAGCUCCGACUGGUGACAUGAGCAAUCUCUCUGCCACUACAGGAAAAAAAAGAAAAAAAGUGGAGGUUAAACUUUUGAAGAGUACCAAGAAAUGUCUCAAGUUACGUCCCCAGCCUGGAAUUUUAUCCCGUGGUACAUAAAAAAGGGAUGGUUACAUGGAGAAAGCUGGGUGAGCUGACAUAAGAGGUGCUACCAGAGCUUUGUUUGUUGUGUAAAGCAUGAGGGCCUAUUUCUGGCCAAGGAAGUAAACAGAGUUUGGCUGCAAGCUUAUUCUGCUACAGUGCUAAAAUAUUUCCCUCCUGGACACUUUCGUCUCUUUAUUUUUGAUUAAGUGCUGUGCCUCUGCCACCUUGCUGCUGCCUGCUGCUCCUUUCUCCGACAGUUCUCUUUUAUUCCAGCUUCUCUUUUCACUUUUGUCUUUGCUCAUUUGUUUUUCUCUUGGACAUUCUGUACAACGUGCUGUCAUGUACCAUCAUGUUUUAUCCUCUCUCAGCUCUACGUAGACUCCAGCCAGUCCGUGUAAGCUUCCCUGGCAAUUGUCCUGGAGCAGUGUUUCCAUACUAGCACUUCCUUUGUUCUUUGUCCCUGCCCAACUAUGGGAAUUUGUUUGCAUUUGCACAAAGCAUAGACAUUCUGUUUUAAAGAUUUUAUCCCACAGCUAUGUCAAGUUCCUAACGCUGUUUGCAUCAUCUAAAAGGUUGCAUUUUUCAAAAACAAAAUAAGAGCCUGCUAGCUGCUUACACUGAGUGAUAAAACAGCAAGUACAAGAACUCUAAAAAAAAAAAAUAAUAUAUGUGGGUUUGUUCAUGACCCUGACGAGACAUUCGUCUAUGUCGUAAUCAAAGAAUGGCCUGGGUUGGAAGGAACCUCAAAGAUCAUCUAGUAAUCCUUGUCUUCAGUCUACCACUGAUCUAAGCAUGAAAAAAUUGGCAGAUUUGUGUUAUCUAACAGCACCCUUUUCAGAGACAGAUAUAAGGAAGCACAUAGUAUUGGGGCAGCAUACUGUAUAGCAGGAGAAAAUUGACACUCUCAUGUGGGAUUCUGCCAUGGUAAUCUAGCUUAACACAGGCAAUACUGUAGCUUCUCCCAGUUGGUUCACACUUUCAACCUUUCUGAAUUUACUCAGGUGGAGAAAUUCUAAUGCUCAUGCAAAAAUCCUACUCAUUGCAAAGAAAGGUUUACUCAUUGUCUAGGGCAGGGCUGAACAUCAAGAUGCCUAUGGACACUCUGCCAAGGCUCUGCUUCUUAUGUCACCUCAGAUUCAUUAGUUCAUCCAAGGCUCAGAGGAAGCAUCUAAUUCACUUUUUGUGAUAUCGUAUUGCCCACACCCAAACUCUGACUCUUGGCUGUGUUUUUUCUCAUAAAGCAGCAGCCAGCACCUUCCCCUGCAGCCUCCAACAUCUCUAUUAGACAGGCUAUUCUGCAGACCAUACCACAGAUAUAGAUAUCCAUCCUGUGCAGUGGAUAACUCUGCUUUAGAGGGCACACCAGCUGCAGUUUCUACUGCCACACCUUACUUCCUUUUGUUCAUAACUUUACCAAAAUUUAACUGUUUGGACUUAAUUGUUGAACAGAAGGUUUUUCUUUUCCUCUCACCAUCCAAACCUAAGCAUAUGGGAAAAUUUCAACUACAAUAUUUCGCUAUUUCUAGAAAUUGAGACCAGAAUCAAGGAAAAUUAUUUGUUUAGGAAAAAGAAAGACAUCCUAGAACCUGCAUUAAGGUUCUUUAACAUUCUGCUACCUGGAACUAGACAUCUGCUUUCAGAAUGCUACUGUGUGGCUUGUUUGUCAUUUUUUUGUGGACAUUUUCCCAUAUGUGACAAAUUACAUACUUUUAAAAUAAAAAUCUCUGUGUGUUUGUUCAUGUCUGGAGAAGAUUUGUUGAAGUUGAGGAACUGAAGUAUCUGAGGAGUCCAAUUUUCAGACCCUUCCAGUGAGGACACUUCAUCUUCUUAUGCUUGAGGACCAAAUUAUAUGAUCUUGCUAUCAAGUGACUUGACAUGUUUUAGCCAGCAGUACAACACAGUCCUUCCUUGCUGAAGUAUUACUGUCAAUGGAACAUAAUGCCAGGAAAUUCUCUCUUUUAAUUCCCAGUUCUCCAUCUGCUCAUGCCCAGAAGAAAGAGCGAAUGGGAUGAGUUAGAAUUUUAAAUAAAAUAAUUCAAAUGAAAGCAAUAUUUGCUCACAUAAGCAUCAAGUACUGUGAUUUUCUAAUGCUGGUGGUGAUGGGAAAAGUUGUCAAGAAAGUUGUCUUUAAGCUUCCUUCCAACCUAAACCAUUCUAGGGUUCUGUGAGAUGUGGCCCAUUUGUUCUCUGCACUCCUGACUGAAUAUCUAAUAAUAAAAAUUAAUGUGAAUCCUCUGUGCUUCUGAAGAGCAAACUAUCACUAAAAGCAAUGUGCCAAAUACUCUUCUUCCAUGCGGCUCCACUGAUGGGCCAGGGAUGCAAAGACAGGGUUUGACAGUAAGAGAUUGCCACAAUGUGUGUGGGAUCCAGAGCAUUAAAAGGCAAGGUUACGAUUUCUCAACAUGAAAAGUCUGAAGGAGGAUUCCUGUUCAGAGUGAUUUCAUCUUAGAUGGGAAACAAAUGGAAGAGAAGACUGUGCACAUCUCUGUAAAGCGCUGUAGCAGUUUGGCAUGAUAGAGUGGCAUCUGGGGACUUGGAGAUAUACUCUUUGGAAAUGUAAAGGUAUAGACAAAAUGAAGUCAUAUUAGGCACAGAACCAUCUAUCUCUCAGCAGCGGAGCUGUCUCUCCCUAAUGUAUGUCACAUCUACUCAAAAGUGGGAGAAAACACUCUUCAGAUUCCCUAGUAUUUAUGGAACACACUGAAAUAAAUUGUACCUCAGAACACCAGACUUGCCCCAUAAAAUAAGGAGUGACACUGAUAUAAAGCUGAUUUUCUUGACUGCCGUUCUCAGCAUUCUGGAGAGCCUGAUCCCCAGUAAGGCAAUUUGGCAGAUAGCUAGCUGCUGUAAUGGGGGCAAAGACAUGCAUUUGUUGGAAGGAGAGGCAAAAAGGAAAUGUUAUAGCUUUACCCUCUAAAAUCCAACCCUGUACUUUAAGAACAAAGAUACUUUAAUCACCUUGGCAGCCAGUAUAGCCAGUUCUGAUAUAGGAAAGGUCAAAGAUAUCAUCCUUCUAUUAUCUAGAUUCUAAUUAGGUUGUGAGUAAAUAGGGAACACUGAAGUUGUUUACACAGUGAUUGUCAUGUGCCCUACUGACUUGAAAACACCGAAGACUCCAGCAGCUUUCAAAGCUGCCCAUUGCACAUGUACAUGGUUCUACAAAGUGCAGAAGAGGAGGCUCAGGGGAGAACUCAUCUCACUAAAACUACCUGAAAGGAGGUUGUAGUGAAGUGGACACUGGGCUCUUUUCCCAAGUAACUAAUGAUAGGACAAGAGGUAAUGGCCUCAAGUUGUGCCAGGGUGGUUCAGGUUGGAUGUUUGGAAAGAUUUCUUCUCAGAAGCAUGGUGAGAUAUUGGAACAGACUUCCCAGGGAGGUGGUAGAGUCACCAUCCCGGGAGGUUUUCAAGAAAAGGGUAGAUGUCACACUGAGUGACGUGAUCUAGAAGGGUCACAGGCAUGGGCUGAUGGUUGUACUAGAUGACCUUAGUGAUCUUUCCAACCUUAAUGGUUCUAUGACUCUAUGAAAUGUGGUGAAUUUGAUCUUAGCCUGAAAGAUUUUUUUUAAGGACAUGCACGCUCAUUCCAAAAAAAAAAAAAAGAGAACUGUAGAUCUCCAAAGAAUAACUGAGAAGUCAGUAUAGUUCCCCAGAGUGCUAAGACCUACCUAUCUGCUCUCCACGCAAACUUCAUACAGACCAUGGUGUCUUAGUUUAGCUGAAGAUUAUCUGAGCAAUAAAAUGGCAUAAGGGAUGAAUUCAUCCAGUUUUUGGAAAAAGUUCUGCUCAUUUCCAUGAAAAGCCCUGCAGUGGUUGAGCUCCUUUUGACUUACGAUGAGAGAUGAUUUUGACCUGCUCUCUAUCAUCUGUUAGGCUGCAGCUGUGCCCUCUAGCACUGUAUAUGUAUUCCAAGCUCAUCUAGAUGUGGAAACAAAAGCACAAAUGAGAUGACAAUCUUCCAUUCUUUCUGUGUGCUGCCAAUACCUGUUUGUCCCUAUAAUGACAUUAAUCAUCUUUUAUUUAUAGUGGAAUAUUGGAAGCUUCAAUUUUUCCCUUUUGAUUUAUUUGUAGGACAACAGGUGCACAACUUAAGCAGGUGUAUGGAUGUGCACAUAUGCUGUGAGUUUGCCAAUAGCCAAAAUACAUCUUUAGUAAAUGAUUACUUGUACCAAAGCUGCCAUUAUUUUUGUUUCAUGCCUAAACUUAAUUCCACAACUGUUAGCUGCUACAGUCUAUUAUGUGCUUUGUGUUGCAACUGCAGUAAUGCAACUCAGAUAUGCAAAACCUCUCACCCUUCAAAACCCUUUGCAAACAAGAUGUCCCUAAACCAUACACUGCUCCCAGUUUCUGAUACUUGGAAAAGGUACCGAAAAUGUAUCAACAGUUUCCAUUGGCAACUGCUGCAGAAUAGCAUGAUACCGGUCCAACAGCUGACACAAAAUGCCUUUCCAUAUGUAAAGCUGUGCCUUAAACACACAAGGGACACUAAGAAUAAACGUAUUUUCUAUUUCUUUUGUCUAACAGCAAAUGGGUUGUGAAGAAGUGCUGGAUGCCUUAAAAAAUGCAGUUAUAAUUUUGGAUCCAAGCUGUGAGAACACUCAUUGGAGACAACUGUUCUCUCAUGGGCUAGCCUUGAAUAAACAAUCACAGCUCUGUGUGAUAUUACUUCUUAACCAGAUUCUAGCAUUGAGCUGUUGCCUUGCCAUGGUUACUUGCCUUUUAAACCAAUGUUUCUUUUCCUUCCUUUUUGCCAAGAUUCUUGCUUGCUUGGCAGUGGCUCGUUCUCCUUUGAACUUUUGCCCUAUUUUAAUCUCCACCAAAUUUUUAGUCUAAAAGAACCUUUUCAACGAUAUCUUUUGUUGUCCUGAAUUUCUUUUCUCGCUGUGAGAACUUACUUGGGGACAUGGCUUACGGGAAAGUGCCCAAGUGACUGUCUUCUCCUGAGUAUCCAGCAGCUGGCAUGCAUCCGUGAGGAGAUUAUGAAACAAAGCCACGACAGCACAAGACAGUGGCCACUCCUGAAAUAAGAUUAAAUAGUAAAGAAGGACACACGUACACACACAUGCAAACUACCAGGUCAUUCACUGGGAGAUUUACUUGUGCUUGUUAGCUCCUGAGCUUGCCUCAGCUGAAUUCAUCUGAGGAUAACACCAUUAAAACCCAUGUCAGAGCAUCACUCUGCCACACAGGGGUCCAGAGCAGAAUCCCUCACUUGUGCUGUGCCCCGGGAGCUGGCAUAGCACCGCAUCCCAUGGAUCAUGUGGGAGUCCUGGAAAAAGGAAGCAUGUCUCUGGCUGCCUCGGGGUAACUCUCCAGGCAACCUGGAAGAAUCAAACUCACAGCUUCUGUGAAGAAGUUAAAAUUCAUCUUAUACCAGGCAAACACAUCACCCUGACAUAUUUUGACUUUUUUUUUUUUUUUUUAACAUGUUUUGUCCUAUUUGGAGAUUCAGGGGGAGAAAUGCAUGCUCUCUCCAAAAUAUUUUUUAGUCACUAAUAUUGUUCCCACUUCUAAAAAGAAAAAGAAGCGAACACAAUUCAGUUUCAGAUUCAUCAAAAGACAUCACUGUGUGAUUUUCUAAAGUAAAGGCAAGUACAUGUGUACAGUAUUCCUGUGCAUAACAUACAUGUGUGUACAUAUAGGUGUACAAAAACAGUGACAGUAUUUCAUACGCAUAUUUAUUACUGGGAAAACCGAUUUUCUUACCAGAAGCAUAACUGCCAAAUUUCUGGCAUUAGUGAAAGCCCAGCUAUUACUAUUUAGAAAUCUCUGUCUCAGGCUGAAUCAUUUUUUGGCUGAGUUUUUAAUGUAAAGUAAAACCUAGCACAAGCCUCAAGGACAACAGACCCCUGUGGUGUGCUGUAUGUAAAAUGAACCACAUUAAUGUCAUUCUGGUAUGUGCAUCAUAUAUUCUCAUAGAGAAACCAGGGCCAAUAGUUUAGUCAUAUUUAUUCACAGACUAAUAGGAAUCUGUGUUAAUUGACUAAGAUAUGCCUGAGAGCAUCUUUUCACCAUCUGAAUAGUUGGGCUGAAUGUAGGAAGACCAGCAAGAUACCUAUUUCCUUUAAAACAUAACCUUACCAACAUUUUAUGUUAGAAGAUUUUAAACUAAAUCAAACAAUUCAAAGUCUAUCCUUGCUCACUCUUAUUUAUUAACUUUUAGAGAGCAAUUUUCUUCACAGUAGCAAAAUCAAUACUCUGAGAUAAAACUUCUAACAAGAGUUUCCUUUCUCAUAAAAUUUUAUUGGCAAUUUAAUUCUUCAUCUGUAUUGAAAUGGUAAAAUGUAAAGAGCAAUGUUCUUUUUUGCUAGUAAAACAUCCUUAUUUACUUUGGAACACAUGCAGAAGGCACAUUUUCAGCUGAGUUCAAUCAUUUUCUGUUUCCUUGAUAUCUUCAUAUGCAGACAAUCCUGACUGACAGAAAAAUCACUAGCUAAUUGACUACAGCAUGCUUUAUAUGCAAGCUUUAUAUGCAAGUAUUGGUAGCAACCUACUCUUUAGACUCCCUGUGGGCUGGAGGUGGGCAACCUGCGGCAGAAGUGCCCAGCCAUGUGCUGCUUUGCUCUUCACAGAAACAAGAUGUUACCUUGGAGUAAUUUGCCCCUUAGCACCCAAUAUGCAAACUUCCAAUUGACUCCAGCUGGAUUUCUGCACCUUGCUGUAGUUCACGUACAGCAGCAAAUCCUUGUACUACCUUGGGCAUGGAAAAGAGGUAAACAGGCACACCAUGCCUCUCAGUCCAGGAUGGGAACAUAAGUAUUUAAGAGACAGACACGCAUCCUUUCCCAUGAGAAAGGAGGAGACAGAGAAGGAAGGCUACUCCACACCGUGCACAGGGUGUGUCCACACAGUGGUAAUGUGUUGCCAUUCUCAGCUUUUCCAUCCAGCAUUUUCAAAAUUAGACUGGUAGUAAGUAAGGCUUGAGGGGCCGGCUGAGCUCAGCUUUUGGGAAGGAGGCUCCACUGCGUACAAUGCUGACUUGAGUCCCAGUGUCACUUUCCCACACGGAGUAGCCCCUUGAUCUGUGAGUAGUGCCUAUGACUUCUGCCGGGACCACUCGCAAGGACAAUGCGGCUCAGCAGGCUCUUUGUAAAUGUGUGGCCGCAAUACAUUCAUCAGCAACAAUGACUCCUGUAAUCAUUUACAAUGCCUUUGGGCCUCUGUGUGUAAAAAAAGCAUCGCUACGCCAAACCAAUGGGAGAAAAGCUUGUGUGGUGGUGGCUUUAAAAUCGGAAUUGUGAAGCGUUAUUUGUAUCGAGAGACGAAAUAGCAAGAAGUGGAAAGGGUGAGAAAACAUGAAAAGAAAUGCGCUUAGGGAAACAGAAGCUGGAAGUAAUCAAUAAAUCAUAGAAGAAAGUAAAGAGAAAGAACCUUUAAAGUGCCCAAGCUUAAAUGUCAAGAGUAUUAGAACAAAAGAGCUCAAAGCAGAAGAUUGUGUGACAGAGGAAUAUGCUGAAACUCUGUCAGAAAGCAGGCUCACUCCUGAGCGUGGAAAACAGUACAGACAAUGAAGGGCAGCAGAGAAGAACAGAAUAAGAAAUGAGGACACCGUGUACGUUCCUCUUCCUUAAAUAGCUUGAACACACAGGAUUGGUAUUAUUGUUAUUAGAAGACUCUGAGGAGUAAAACUGGAAGAACACCAUCACAGUUGUUGAAAAGAUCAGCUUUAAGCUAUGUAAUAUGCUAAGAAUGUGCUAUCAUAUAUGCAUGAAGGUAUGCCAUCAAUAUUGCAGAGUAAAAAGAUCUUGCUUACAUUGUCCUCCGCCAAAAAGAAACAGAGCCAACCAAGGCAGAGCUGUUGUUACAUUUAUCCCUAGACAAAUUCCUACAGUUACAUUUUUUUUUUUCCUAAUGACACUCUUUCAGUGAUGCACUUAAUCACACAUAGCUCUAGGCACAAGUGCUUGUCCCACUGAAAUCCACGUAUAUAAACAUACACUUAAAGUUAAGCUGGUACUCAAAAUGUUUUGCUGAGCUGAAGCCCGUGUGCUGAUGGAUUGCCUAGUUAGCCAUAAACUGCAUGGUUACAUCUGUUUUUGACUUCUGGCUCAGAAACAGAUACCUGCUCUGUUUGAAUCAAAUUUAUCAUGGCCGCUACUCAUAUAAAAAUGCUUUUGGCACCACACAUGUCUGUGUUGUGAAACCAAAAUUUUAUGUUAAAAAUGGAUUUGUGGUCAACUGAGCAAAGGCGGCUUACAUUCUCCUCGGCAGAAACCUGUACGGGAAGAAAUUAAACGUGCCUUGAUGUACCUUGAAAAAGAGAAUUUGAGAAGCUCUCACAAAGGCUGCUGGAAAACAUCUGUCACAGCAAAAGGCAGACAAACCCCGGGCACUAUGCGUUGGGUGAUGGACUUUGCCAAGCAUGACAGGCAUGAGGGCUGCUGCAGCUAUUGAGACACACUGGCAGGCAGUAGACCUGAGCCGCAGCUCUUUCUUAAGAGCCCUGGUGGCACUGCCCACUGCACAGGUCUCAUUUCUGGGUCAAGUCUGAACAGAUAAUCUUUGCAGUUUGCUUGAGGUCAUGAUACGACUGUCGUAAAAACCAUUAUAAAGGCAUGCCCCUGGGGUAUUUGUUCUUGUGGGAAUAAAGCACUUAAAAUCCACACGGACCACUCAGUCAGUGGCAGGAAAGAGAACACAUACUGAAUUGUUUGUAAAAUAUUAUUAGCUUGAAUCAGGUGGUGAUAGCAAUAUGGAAACACAGCAGCUCAGUCCACUCUGAAGUCAUUAUUAACAUUAUCCUGCUAUUUGAGUAUGUACACACAAAUGACAGUACCGAUAUGCCAUUCCAGAGUAACAUCAGCAGGUAAAUUGACUGUUAAUGCUUGUGUUAAUGUUACUGAGCAUGUCCACAAUAACAAAGACAUUUCCAAAAACCUGAGUGAACUGAUGACAGGAGAGUGAUGAAUCAUGCAAAAAAAAAAUAUUACCACAAGUGCUCAUUUGACAGCAAAGAAUUUUGUGGUACCGCUCUGUGAGACAUUUAAAAUUUCAGUCAUAAUUUUAGGAGAUCUCUCUCAUUCAAAUUGUCAAAGCCUAGCAAGCUUGUUAACAACAUCAAGGGGUGACUGGUUCUUCAUCUUCUUGCUCUUGUUCUACUGAAUGAUCGAGGAACAAACUAAAACUGACAGCUAUUGCAAGGAUAACAAGAAUUAGGAGAUACAAAAUAUGUUUCUACCCCUCCUUGUCAAAUUCAGCCUAAGGUAGUUGAUAUUCAGUUCCGGAAAAUGUUGCAAAACUAAAAGGAGCUGUAGCUUAGAUCCUGGAUGUUCUGUCCCCGCCAAGCAGGGCCACUGGAGUGGCAUGAAGCAGGACAGCUAAUGGAACUGGGGUCCAUCAGCUCCCUUCUUUCAGGUUGCUAAUUCUACCAUAUACAAACGAGCUAGGAAUCCACUGAAAGAAUUAACAUGAAAGUUCUAAAGUCUCCCCAUGAUUUUCACAGUAUCUUGACAAAUUUGAUUGUAGGAACAGCAAAGCAAGUCCUUAAGCUAUGGUCUUUUUAUUAAAUAUUUGAUCUCCAUUAAAACAUCAAGACUUCUUGGUGGUGUUAGCUUUCAUUGUGAGUGAAUGCUUUCAAUCCAUGUCUUAGUUACCCUGGAUUCUUAGUUGAGAAAAUAAUAAAUAAAUAAAUAGAUGUUGAUGUACAUGAAGUACUGUGCUUAUUCACUGCAUACCAAUGUUCGAGAGUGUAAUGACAGGACAAGGAGCAGUGACUUUGAACUGACAGUGACUAGAUUUGGAUUAGGUAUUAGAAAAAACUUCUUUACUCAGAUAAUGGUGAGACAAUGGCAGAGGCUGCCCAGAGAAGCUGUGGAUGCUCCAUCCCUGAUGGUGCUCAAGAGCACAUUGGUUGGGGCCCUGGGCAACCUGACCUAGUGUGCGGUGUUCCUGCCAUGGUAGGGGGAUUGAAACUGGAUGAUCUUUAUGCUCCUUUCCAACUAAAACCAUUCUGUGAUUCUAUGAAAGCCAAUUUUGAUGAGAUUCACUUGAAACCUCACUCUAAAAAUAUUAUAUAAGUAGGUAGCCACUAAGAAUGACUAAGGUUUAGAAGAUAAGAUUAACGUUAUAAGAAAUCAGGCAAAUUACAUGCAGACAUGAUCCAACCACAGGAUAUGGGAUGCAUUGGUUGGGAGAACCCCACUUAGUUUGCUCAAGGAUAUUUUUUUUAUCAGGAAGCUAAAUAUAAUAUAGAGGGUGUGGCCUCAAGUUUAGCCAAGGGAGAUUCAGGUUGGACAAUAGGAAAAACUUCUUCAAAAGAGUGGUCAGGCAGUGGAAAGGGCUGCCCAGGGAGGUGGUGGAGUCACUGUCACUGGAGGUGUUCAGUACAUGUCUAGAUGUUGUACUGAGGGACAUGGUUUAGUGGGAAAUAUUGAGAGUAGGUGGACAGUAGGACUGGAAAAUCCUGGAGGUCUUUUCCAACCUUAGUGAUACAAUGAUUCUGUGAUUAUAUAAAUUAUUUCAUAGGUGUUAUUCAGCUCUCUCCAAUCAAGUCAGCAAGAUUUUAACUGAAGUUGUCUCAUGCUUGGCCAACCUGUUAGAUUGCAGUGAUGAGUUGACAGGCUUGGUGUAUGAGGAGAGUACAGUGGAUGUGAUUUAUCUCAGCUUUGGCAAGACUUUCACCACAUUCUCCCAUAUUGUCACCUACAUAACACUCCAGAAAUUAAUGAGUUGCAGACUAAAUGAAUGGACAGUGAGAUGGACUGUAAACUGUCUGAAUUGCUGGGCUUAACAGGCUGUGAUCAUGAAGUCCAGCUGGAGGCCAGUCAUAGCUAUGUACCUCAGGGGAAGAUACUGGGGCCAGUAGAUUUUAACACCUUCAUUAAUGACCUGGGCAACUCAACAGAGUGAAUCCUCUGCAAAUUUGCAGAUACAAUAAAACUGAGAAAAGAGUUUGCUAGACUAGAUGCUUGUGCAUCCAUUCAAAAGGACCUUGACACACUGAAGAACUAGGCUAACAGGAAACUCAUGAAGUUAAAUAAAGGGAAAUGCCAUGUCCUCCUCAUGAGGAGGAACAACCUCUUGCACCAGGAAAGGUUGAGGCCAGCUGGUUGGAAAGCAAUGCUGUAGAAAAUGCUGUGAUAUUCCUGGAGAGCAGCAAGUUAACCAUGGGCCAGCAAUGUACCCUUGAAGUACAUUGGGCUGCACUAUGCUGAGCAUUACCUGCAGGUCAUAUAAGGUGAUCUUUUCUCUCUGUUCAAACAAACCUGGAGCACUGAGUCCAGCCAUGGUCUUCCCAGUACAAGAGACCUGGGUAUACUGCAGCAGGUCCAGUGAAGGUCCAGAGGGAUGACUAAGGGCUUGCAGUACCUAAGGUACAAGGAGAGUCUGAGAGAGCUUGGACAGUUCAAUCUGGAGAAGAAAAAGCUCUGGAGAAUCUUAUCAGUGUGCAUAAACACCUGAUGGGGGACGAUAUGGAAGCUGGAGCCAGUCUCUUCCCAGAGGCACACACUGAAAAGACAAAACACAAUAGGAACAAAUUGAAAAUAUAUUUUUCCUGCAGGGGUUGUUGAAUAUUGGAACAAGUUGCCCAGAAAGGGUGUGGAGUCUUCAUCCUUGCAGAUCUUCAAAACCCAAAUAUUUUUUCAAUUUUUUUUCUGUAGGGCAUCUGCCUGCUCUUUCUGAAUUGCAAAAGAGUAAUUUCCUACUCUUCACUAUAUUGUUAAUACAGGCAGAGGCUCUUCAUAAAUGUAGUGUCAGCCCACAGAUCAAAUGUAUAUCUCACCUGCUACUUCCCCUACAAUUUUGGGUCUUGGGACAAUGCGUAGGCUGCACCGUUAGUGCCUCAGCUCAGACCUACAUGUUCUCCUGAACCAGUCCCUUUCCCCAACUGCCCCAGUGGGAUCACAGUUGUCUAUAACCAAAACAUUGCUGCAACUGUAAAAUUUGCCUGAAAGUUCAUUUCAAUCUGCUGCUUAUAGUAAACAGGUGGGUUAUGGCUUUGUCCUUCAUGUUCAGCCUCAUGUCAGUUCCAAAAAUCUUGCUCAACUGCUGUUCAGAGAUCUCAGCUGGAGUUGAGAACAAAAAUCUCACUGAACUUCAUCAAGUAUUUGGAGUAAAACUGACACAUGACUGGGGAUAGAAGGAAGGCACAGCCAGCAGGGGAGAGAGGAGUGCUUGUGAAAGACUUCAAAAUGGAGAGAAUUCAUUCUUGUUGAUGAGAAGGCCUUGAGGAACUCAACCUACAAAUCAUUACAUUGUUGCAAGACUAAGAGAGAAAUCAUUCAUUACUAAAAAAGCCUCAUAGUGCCAUUCAAGCACGUUGAGAGCUUUUCUGAGAAUGUACCUUCCGCAGAGCAAUGGAGCCAGAGUGUGAAAUGACCAAAGUGAUUGACAGAAGCUAAUAGCAGUAGUCCAGAGCUCAGAGAGAUUUGAAGACAUUCUCCAUAGUGCUGUGGUCUUACAAGUCAAACACAAACUGUGGACACAGUAGUCACAUGUGCUUCAGAAGCUCCUGUGUUCAGUGGAAAGGAGCCUCCUCAAGAACGUACAACGGUCUGAGCACCGCCCUGCAGCAGCCCCCGAACCAGCAAGAUGGGCUUCUUGCAAAAGGAGGCGGCACCGCUGGAUCAAGACUGCUGAGGAUGCAGAAUUGUAGUCCCUGGAGAAAGGAACGGCUGUCUUCCACCCAUAUAACUCAAAAAGUGGAAACUUCUCAGGUAAGGAUCAAAUAGUUGAACCUAAGCUGGUUUCUUCUGUACAUGUGGCAGACCAGCUCCCAUGAAACACAGUGAGGCUGACAAGGAAGACUCUUUUCCAUUGGGGAUUUCACAUACAAUAUGCAUGCAGAUCAGUGCUUUGACUGAAGUUCAUUUGAAAAUGAAAACAAAAGCCACAUAAGACACCAGAAUGCAGGUACUUUGACAACUGUCAGGUUGGAAAGUGCUUUAUAUGUAAGACAAGUCAUAGUGUUCAGUCUAUUUGGAAACUGAUGCCACUGCUCACUUUUACAGACAGUUCCUUUAGGUGAGAGUGACACUGAUAUCAUUCACAUAGACACUGCCAGAUUGAUGUCAGCGAGACAGCAAAACGUUCAGGUUCACUGGAAGGAAUAUAACACCUUGGCUAAAAUGAAAUCCUUGACCAUGUAGAAAGGGAGCGGGUCGGAAAGGUACCUACCCCUGCCAAAUGUUUACUCUUGCAUCCCUGCCUCGCAGAGGGUGUGUGCCAUGUCGAGUCAGAGCCAAGGACAGUAAAGAAAUUCUGUGUGAAUAACACCUGACUGUUGUGGGCAAAGAACUAUGAAAUUAAGCCAUAAACUACGUAUGUGGUCAUUUAAACUAAGUUUAAGGCUUUGUAUAUCACAGGGUUAUAAAGCAAUGCUGGGGAGAGGUUAUAUUUUACAAAAAUAUUGAUGUUUACGCUAGAUUAAUGAUUACUUGCCUGUAGAGAGGAACAGCGAAUGGAAUAUCUAUCCAAGGUCAGGCUGUGUCUGAGCUGCAGACACAAUAAGUCACUAGAAAGUUUUGAGCAAGAGGAUUUGGCCUAAACAGAUUUUUUUCAAAGAGCUGGCUAAGAUUGCUAAUUAUUUCUUUGAGUAACUUUGAACUGCUAGUUUCUGAAUCAUUGUCAUUCCAGAGGGAUUAGUAAAUCUUUUCAGUAAAAGGAACACACACCAAAACUUAAAAAAUGCAUUUACAGAAACCUCCUUCUUUUCUUGUUCUAUCUUGGCACUAAACAUGCGAGAGGAAGCUCACUUUAAAUAAAAAAAGAAAAGAGAAGAGAAGAGAAGAGAAGAGAAGAGAAGAGAAGAGAAGAGAAGAGAAGAGAAGAGAAGAGAAGAGAAGAGAAGAGAAGAGAAGAGAAGAGAAGAAAAGGAAUAAGAACACAAGUUAGAACUGAAAAAAAACUUGUUUUGAAUGCUUUCCUUUCCAACUGCUCAUCACAUCGGCUUAAGAUCACGUAAUUCAAAAACUGCAGAUCAUUUCCAGUGCUCGAACUUCCACGCACAAUUUUAAUGCGCAGCCUGGUAAAAUCAAGCAUGAGCAGGAAGCAAAUCACAGAAGAAACAUUUUCAUGCCUUAAAAUUACACUGGGAAGAGGGGAAAAAACAAACUUAAAACAUGCAAACAGCAAACUUGUCCAUUCACCGCAGCUGUGUUCCAGCCAGUAGUUCCCACAGCUUCAAGACCAAUAUAUUAAGCUGACAGAGAAAAUGGCUGCCGUCUUCUGAGGCCAAGUUACAGCCAUCCUUGUGGUUUGAAAGUCUGAAGUGCAGUGCUCAGAUAAAGCAGGCAACUCUACUCCAGCCUGGUAGAGACAUUAAAACACACGAGAACUUCAGUAGGUGAGCUCCUCACUUUCUCUCCUUUUUUGUUAUAUUUUUCCUCUGGUGGGUUGAGUUAUCCAGUUGGAGCUCCCAGAAUAGAUGAAAUCCAGGCAGAAGAGCAUACCCAGUUCUAUCAGUCACCUGCUGUGAGUCUCCAUCAGUGAAGCUUUGCCUUUGGACUGAGAUGUAAAAUUUAUUGGGGUUUUGCACUUCUUCCCCCCACUCUUGGCCUUGUUUGUACUUUUGGAAUAAAUAUGGAAUAUAGUCUGUCCCUUUAAUGCAAGAGACAAUGAGAAGGGCAAAACUGUUCCCAAGAAGUCAGUAAAAGUGGUAAUACCUAUUAAUGAUUGCAGCAGAGUGCUUUUCAGUUGCCCUAUUAAAGGAGCUCUUUGUCCUAAUAAAUACCAAUGAAAAAGCUUGCUCUCAGAGCACCUACCCUGUACUUUAUUUAUAAUGAGUCUUCUAAUGAGUACAUAGUGUUUAUGCCUCCUUGAGAGACUCAUCACUCCCUCUCUCAGUCUGUUAUUUAACAUACAGUACUCCAUGAAGGUGUCCCAUUUCAUCCCCCAUGCCUCCCUACCUCCUCCCUCACACAGACUUCCCCAUACUGCUUUUGUUCAAGGGCGUAGGCAACUCUGAAGGAACAGUGAGCACUGGAACUGAAGCAGAUUUCCCAAAUGUUAGGCACGGUGUGGAAGGAAGGGGAGCAGGCACCCCAGAUUUUCAAUGUGGCAGUGCAGGUCCGCCUAGUACACGCUCAGCAUUAAGUCAGUCCCAAUGUGUACUUCUUUAAUCAGCAGCAAGCUGUUACUGGUGUUUAAACAGGUGUACAGUCACACAUCUGUCCGUUAUACCUGGUAAAAUACCUGGUAAGUCACAGUCCAUUUGCCUGUGUCAUACGGAUGUCCUAGCUAAUAUUAGCCACCACUGACAAGCAAGACCUGAAGGCAGUCACCUCUAAGAGACUGAGAAAUCCUGCUGGUUGCAAUGAAAAGGCCUACCUGUUCCUCUUUGAUGGGUAGUUUGGGGGGGGAUUGUCAAGACAAAGAGCUCACUUGUCAAGUAGCGUUUUUGUCAAAGCUCCUUGUGACUGUAAUUUAGCAUGGUACAUUCUGUAUGUGGCUGUUAGGUUGUGACACAAGUUAAAUUAAUAACUUUGUGACACUUCACAUGAUAUUCUGCUGCCGUUCAGAGUCAUGCCUUGAGAUCAUGGGAUCCUACAUGACACAUCCCUAAUGUGAUCUUGUGACAGAACAGAAGUAAUUUAUGUUAGCAGAGUAUCUGAGGAUUAAAAAAAAAAAAAGAAUCCUAUUAUAGGGUUGCUCAUCGCCUUAGGCCAGAAGAUAGGAUCUGAAGACUCUCUUUUAUUCUCUGUGUUUUUCUUUUAGGCUUUGAAGCUGUGAGUAAAAGGGUUUCCCUUCCUUAAGCAAAUCAAUUCCCUGUCCUCUUUCUGAGUCUCUGCAAUGUGUGUUUCCACAAGAGACGAAAAGUGCGCAGAAGACUGUAUAAGAUAACUCAGUAUCAAUGUUAAAAUGAGCCCUAUAUUUGCUACCCAUUACCAGCAGAGCCACAUCAGCAUAAAAUCACAAUAGCAGCAGUCUUUGUGGUAUCUUUGUGGUAUCUAGCACUUUGGCGUGUAUAAAAUCAAGACUGUGUUUGGAAUUGAGGAGGUCCUGAAAACAAAAGGGCUCUUUCAUCUGGAAGAAUAAAAGAAAGCUGCUCCUUAAAGAAGAAUGUGUUUCAGGGCUUCAGACAGACUCAUAAUUCACUUAAACCUCUUUGGAGAGUGCUCCCCUCCAUAGCUGGGCUCCAGUGGCAAGGAACGUGGGACUCCUUGUCCAUUGGGUUGAACCCAGUGCUCUAUGAAAUAAUGGCUCCAGGGAAGCACUCAAGGUGCCUCAGUGUCCAUCCCUCAGGGAAUUCAGUGUGCUGAAUAAGGUCCUGUGUGCUUUGAGAUAUGCCAAACUACUGUUUUACUUGAUGAAAUCACAGAGAGAGUGAGUUUCAGUAAGUGAGUACACUUGAAGAAAAGUGUCUUUCCUAUUCACCUCCCAGUGAGGCAUAUCAGAGGGUCUAAACCUUGACAUUGUUUAGACACUGACUAGCUUUCAGUACACAUUACACAAUGAGUUGUGUGCUACCUUCAGAGCCC